rnacentral:rRNA from 1 species
CAGGACGACGCUGGCGGCGUGCCUAACACAUGCAAGUCGAGCGAGGAGAUUCCUUCGGGAUGAUCCUAGCGGCGGACGGGUGAGUAACACGUGGGCAACCUGCCUCAUAGAGAGGAAUAGCCUUCCGAAAGGGAGAUUAAUACCUCAUAACAUUGCAGUUUCGCAUGGAACAGCAAUUAAAGGAGCAAUCCACUAUGAGAUGGGCCCGCGGCGCAUUAGCUAGUUGGUGAGGUAACGGCUCACCAAGGCGACGAUGCGUAGCCGACCUGAGAGGGUGAUCGGCCACAUUGGGACUGAGACACGGCCCAGACUCCUACGGGAGGCAGCAGUGGGGAAUAUUGCACAAUGGGGGAAACCCUGAUGCCAGCAACGCCGCGUGAGUGAUGACGGCCUUCGGGUUGUAAAGCUCUGUCUUCAGGGACGAUAAUGACGGUACCUGAGGAGGAAGCCACGGCUAACUACGUGCCAGCCGCCGC